rnacentral:tRNA from 1 species
GGGGUUGUGGCUCAGUGGUAGAGUGCUUGCCUAGCAUGCAUGAGGCACUGGGUUCAAUCCUCAGCAUCACUU